rnacentral:tRNA from 1 species
GCGGAUAUGGCGGAACUGGCAGACGCGCUAGUUUCAGGUACUAGUGAGGGUUCCCUCGUACAGGUUCAAGUCCUGCUAUCCGCACCA